AAUUAAUAAGCUUUUAUAGCAUUUGUUUUGAAAACUUAAGAAAGAAUUAAAAUUCUAUUAAUUU
rnacentral:tRNA from 2 species